AUUGAACGCUGGCGGCAGGCUUAACACAUGCAAGUCGAGCGGGGGAAGGUAGCUUGCUACCGGACCUAGCGGCGGACGGGUGAGUAAUGCUUAGGAAUCUGCCUAUUAGUGGGGGACAACAUCUCGAAAGGGAUGCUAAUACCGCAUACGUCCUACGGGAGAAAGCAGGGGAUCUUCGGACCUAGCGCUAAUAGAUGAGCCUAAGUCGGAUUAGCUAGUUGGUGGGGUAAAGGCCUACCAAGGCGACGAUCUGUAGCGGGUCUGAGAGGAUGAUCCGCCACACUGGGACUGAGACACGGCCCAGACUCCUACGGGAGGCAGCAGUGGGGAAUAUUGGACAAUGGGGAGAACCCUGAUCCAGCCAUGCCGCGUGUGUGAAGAAGGCCUUAUGGUUGUAAAGCACUUUAAGCGAGGAGGAGGCUACUUUAGUUAAUACCUAGAGAUAGUGGACGUUACUCGCAGAAUAAGCACCGGCUAACUCUGUGCCAGCCGCCGCGGUAA
rnacentral:rRNA from 1 species